CACAAUAAGUAAUCCACCUGGGAGUACGUCGGCAACGAUGAAACUCAAAGGAAUUGACGGGGGCCCGCACAAGCGGAGGAACAUGUGGUUUAAUUCGAUGAUACGCGAGGAACCUUACCUGGGUUUAAAUGUAUAGUGCAUGAGGUGGAAACACUUCUUCCCUUCGGGGCUUUAUACAAGGUGCUGCAUGGUUGUCGUCAGCUCGUGCCGUGAGGUGUCGGGUUAAGUCCCAUAACGAGCGCAACCCUUAUCUUUAGUUGCCAUCACGCGAGGUGGGCACUCUAAAGAGACUGCCACCGUAAGGUGAGAGGAAGGGGGGGAUGACGUCAAAUCAGCACGGCCCUUACAUCCAGGGCUACACACGUGUUACAAUGGCCAUUACAGCGGGUAGCUACUUGGCGACAAGAUGCUAAUCUCUAAAUUUGGUCACAGUUCGGAUUGGAGUCUGUAACCCGACUCCAUGAAGUUGGAUUCGCUAGUAAUCGCGCAUCAGCCAUGGC
rnacentral:rRNA from 1 species